UACGUAGGGUGCAAGCCGUUGUCCGGAAUUAUUGGGCGUAAAGAGCUCGUAGGCGGUUUGUCGCGUCUGCUGUGAAAACUCGGGGCUUAACCCCGGGCCUGCAGUGGGGUACGGGCAGACUAGAGUGCGGUAGGGGAGACUGGAAUUCCCAGUGUAGAGGUGAAAUGCGCAGAUAUCGGGAGGAACACCGGUGGCGAAGGCGGUCUCUGGGCCUUACCUGACGCUGAGGAGCGAAAGCGUGGG
rnacentral:rRNA from 1 species